ACGAAAAGAAAACUACCUAGCCGUCCAUCUCUCUCUCCCUUUCCCAUUUUCUCUCCCUGCCCCACGAUGCACGCAGCAGCCAGCAGCGCCCAGCGCUAGCGCUCCGCGCGGCCUGCGCUCCCCACGCCGCAGCUAGGUGCCCCGGCCAACGCCCCCUCCCAACGGCAAGCCGGUGCCCCUCCGCGGCGUGCAGCCAUGGCUGCCAGCCCGCAGCCGCCGCGGUUCGUUACCCUGCUCGACCGGCCCUAGCCCUUGCGCGCGGUCGGCCUGCCAGCGCGGCGGCGCGACCAGCUAGCACUAUCGUCGUCAUGCUCGUGUCCUCGUCGCUCGUUCGGUGCGUCGUGCACGCAACAUGUCGUCGUACCUCGCCUCGUCUCGCCGUCGUCGCGAGGUAAGCCUCGCCUACCCCUUGCGCGUAAUUCAGAUGAGGUUCGCCCGACGACACGCAAAAUGCUAAUUACACGUUUUAAACAAAGUCAUUUCGUCAUGUCGUUUAGGCUAAAUAAUUAGUUAAUGGUGUGGUUAUCGGUUGUUAAAAAACAUGAGGUUCAAUCGAAUCUAGUUUAUAAUUUUAAUUAUGCGAUUAUAAAUACUUGGCAAUGUGAUUUUAACCACUUAGAUGUUGUAUUUAAUAUCUAUUUAGUGUUUGGUAUAAAAACAACAUUUAGUUAGUGAGUCUUGCAUGUGGUGGUGCGCGUCGCUCGUGCUGUUUGGCUCGUGCUAAUUCACAUGCUGUCCAUGUGUGUCGUCAUUCACACGAGUCGUUAUUCACGCACUUUAAUAAAAUUAUUUCGUCACAUCGUUCAUGUUAAAUAAUUAAUUACUUAUUUAGUGUCGGUUAUUUAAAAUAAUAGUUCAAUCAAACCAAAUUUAUAAUUUUAAUUACACGCUCGCAAAUACCUGUUAUUGCGAUUAUGCCAACUUAAAUGUAUAUCUAAUAUUGGUUUAAUAAAAAAACGAUACAAUUUAGUAGUAUUCGUAGACCAUGUCAUUUAUUAGCCGUGAUGUGCUAAUUAUUCAAUACGUUAUGUGUCGCAAUCCUGUUUUGACUCGUUUCGGACGUGUCAACUCCAUACCAGUGUUAAUUUCAUUUUACUAAUAUUAUUUUGUCACGACGUAAGUUUUAAUCAAAUAGUUAAUUAUUUGUUGUACAAUAUUUAUUAGAAUAACAAUUUGAAUAAAACUAAUUUCUAGUUUUUAUUCGCGCUUUUAUAGAUACAUAUUAAUAUGAUUACGUCUGCUCGAAUAUUUUUGAAUUAAUACUUGUUAGUAUAGACGUAUUGCAGCGUGUGUCGUCUCUUGUCGAUCAUGUGUGUCUCACGCGCUGUCCGCACGUUAUUUAAUUAUUUCUGUUAUUGUCGUUUGCGCUAAUUAGUCAAUUAUUGUUUAGUCGUUGGUUAUUUAAAAUAACAAUUCAAUUAGAACGAGUCUGUUUUAACACACGAUUUUAUAAAUAUAAAUGAUAAUUAACUUGAGUGAUACCAGUAUAAAUACUCUUACUUAAUUAUUUGUUUACUGUUGUUAGCACGUGGCAUCGUUCGCGCGUCAUCGUGUUGUUCGCGCGCAUAGUCGCGUUGACUCAGGUGUGACGAGCACUGUCAUGCGCGUUGUUUCGUGUGUCCGUAUGUUGUUCGGCAUGCUGUCGUGCAUCAUCACAUGUCAUCCACGUGUGUUGCGCGCGCCGUUUUCACGUGUCAUGUGCUAUCUGUGCGCUAGGUCGCGUGCGGGCGUGCUGUUUCACGCGUUACGUAUUUCGUCUCGCUCCGCUAAUUCGUCCCGCUUAGAGUUGCUGAUAUUAUUUAAAUUACUUAUUUAACUAAGAAUUACUAGUGUGGUCAGCUAAUUAAAAUUGUGUGAUAGCUAUAGUUUCAUUUUAAAUAAAUAUCGAUUAAUAUAAGCAGAUCAAACUAAAUGUUAUGACUAAUACUCGUUUAUUGUAGACGCGAUAACUUCUCGAUCGUAGCUUCGUCUGUCGCGUUUCUUUUUCCUUGCGUGAUCGUAGUAACACGCUCUAUUUCAUUUUGCAUAUUUUAUUAUGUUUCUAUUUGAAUGGUGUAAUGUUCUUAUGUAUAUAUGUUUGUUUGUUUGUGCCUGUUUGUAUUCGAUGUGCGUCGCGAAUAGAUUGCGAUCCGGUUCCAAGCUUCGAGGGAUCGAGGAUCAAGCGUUGGCGACCAAGUGAUAUAGCUUUACGAGUUCUACGAUACUAAAGACCCUGAGCAUCUGUUUGGUGAAGGCAAGUGUCCUCUGACCCAUUAUGUCCCAUUUACUUUAUAAUACACUGUCCCGCAUACUAUGAACAACCUAAGGAUUUACUAGCUUUCUAUUUACAUUGUCCUUGAUUUACCUUUUGGGUUACUAUGGUUAGCUACCUGCUAGCGCUUUACUUUAAUCAAUGAACAUGAUGAGAUACAAUGAUGAUACUAUGAUUUUAUUCUGGAUAUGAUGAUAUACUGGUGGCAUUUAGGGGACUCGGGCUGUUUCCCGAGUACCUCUCCGUAAGGACCUGUUCGUUGAGAGACCACCCGGGAUAACAGUGCAACCAUGAGGGUGAAAUGGGAUGCCCUUAGCUAACUAAUUAGAGGAACUAGAGGUGUAGUUGCUUCGCCGUCGUGCCGUCAAUGGGGUCCAGGCACAGUGCUUGCUCUGCCGAGGCUGGGUGCCGAGGUCCUUUCGUUUUGCUUUUGUUAGUCACCUUCCUGCGGGGAGGAGUACUGUGUUUAUCAAACUGGAGAAACCUAACGGGCGGCUAUGACCUCUAGGGAAUCUUUGUAAAAGCUACGUAGUGAUACCCUGCCGGACCACCUAGGAAGUGAUCAAUGGGGAGUCAUGAUCCCCGGGCAAAACGGGAAUCACGGCUCAUGGGUAAAGUGUGCGACCUCUGCAGAGGGUAAUGAAACUGAUAUAUCAGCCGUGCUCACGGUUAAGAGCGGCCUUGGGAUCCUCCUUGAUUAGAGAUACAUAUGAUCUAAGAUACAAUGGUUAUAUUUAUGUUUUGGUUCGAUGAUGAUAAUGAUGUUCCUCGAUGAGGAAAUGAUUCACAGGUUGGUUACAUGAUAAAACUUGGCUUCCACUAAUAAUAAAUACCUGACCAACUAAAAGCAACUGCUUGAGCUAAACCCCACAUAAAGCUAGUCCACCUCAGCCAAACGGGACAUUUGCUGAGUACGUUGAUGUGUACUCACCCUUGCUUUCACAAAACACCAGGUUGCCUUUGGUGCAAUCUAUGCUCAGGUAAAGAAGAAGGAGUCGAGGCGGAUCUCUAGGAGUUCCAGGACUUCGACGAGUUCGAGGAUUAGGCUAGCGACCUCCCCCAGUCAGCUGCCUGUGGUGGGUUUGUUUACGUUGGCUACGUUUCUAUUCUGUGUACUUUGAUUUGUGCUAUGUAAAUGACUCUAGUCUUUAAUAUUAUUACUCAUUCUAUAUUGUUAUUCGAAGCAUUGUGCUAUGAUGAGUCAUUUAUGUAAUCGCUGUGUACGUGAAUUUCUGAUCCUGGCACGUACAUGGUUCGCAUUCGGUUUACCUUCUAAAACCGGGUGUGACAUAAGUGGUAUCAAAGCCGUGCUGACUGUAGGACCGCUGACCUAGAGUAGCGUUGGCCGUUUUAAGGACUUAUUGACUAUUACUUCACCCCAUCCUUGGUUCUGCUUCAAAAUAUUAGUCACCUCGACUAAUUCUAUGUUGUGCUCCUAUAUGCCCCCUUGACAAAAGUAUUUUAUUCUAGUAUGGUUUAUACUUCUCUCAAUCUAUUAGAUCCGAUCUCACUCUUGUGCUUGCGAUAUCUUUGUAGAUGCCCCUUACCAUGACCUUCUAGUCUCUUGGGAUUCUUUCCUCUUCCAUCAUUAAGUUGCUGCCAUUUGACAAUCAUUAUUCCCUUGGUAUUGACAUGCUUUUGAUUCUUCCAUACCCUUAUUCCUUAAUUCAAACACUUAACCCUAAAAACUCUAUUGCCUAGUUAAACAUUUCAGUUUAUAUGUCCAUGACCUUCCUGUCUUUUGAGAACCUUUCCUAUUCUAUUGUUAAGUCGCUAUCUUUUGGCAAUUUGUACUCUCUUCGUCUUGGUAUGCUCGUACCAUUGGAAUCUUGCAUACUAAUAUUUUUAUAUAUGCUUACCUUCAUAUCCCAAUGAUUGUUCAAAAAAUUUCGGUUAAUAUGCCCUUGAUCAUCCUUGCUUCUUGAUGGUCCAUGAGCGACCCUUCUAUUUCGCACAUCCUUGACGAUCUCACCGUUUCCUCAUAACUUCCCUCGAUAAUAAUUUUUGUUACUUCAACCAUUCUGUUGGGACCUUACCUAUCUCACCCUUGAUUGUCUUAUCCACUUCGCCACUUCGAGAGUCUUGCCUUAACUCUAUCCUGGGUUAUGAUUUCACGAUCAUCAUCUUUACCCUUGUCGCCUCUAUAUCUUACCUUGAUGCUUAUAUUAUACCCGUCCUUUAAAAACCUUCUCUCUGCCAUCUCAAUUUUAUAGUUGUAGUUUACCUAUUUUCCCUUGGUCGUAUUCUCUUCCUUAUCGCUUGCGAGUUUUUAACUCCAUCCCUUGUCGUGCUCCAGUUGGGUAUUACCUUUACCUUUCUCAUCCCUCGAUCUUACCUUUAACUACACUAUGUCCGUUCUCUAAAAUCUUCAAUCUCAUAUCUCAAUGUGAGAGCGAUGUUUUACUUAUCUUAUCCUUGGCAAUAUCCUCUUCUUUUCCGCGUGUAAGCCUUGACAUACCUCCAUUCUUUAUUGUGCUUAUACCACUCGCUCUUCUAAGUCUUCAUCUUUUCUCCUAUACUCUUGUCUGUUAUCGCCUUUGGCCCUUGCGAUAUUUAUGUCUUCUACCUAAAUGCUUACCUUGAACUUAUCCUUUAAAGCCUCUCCUUUAUUUUGAGAAAGUUUGAGGGUUGUGAUUUACCUAUCUCUCCCUUGAAUUCUUGUCACUUCGUGUCGCCUUACAAGUUUUGUGUUAAUUCCAUCCUUUGUUGUGUUUUAUUUGCUAUCACCAUCACCUUGUCAUCCAUCGAUCUUGCCUUAUACUCAUCUGUAUUCCCACUCUAAAAAAAUCUCCUCUCUUCCACCUCAAUUUGAGAGUGGCAGAUUACCUUUCUGGCCCAAGGACGUACCCUCUCCUUUUCCAUUUGCAGGUCUUGUCUUAACUCCAUCCUUUGUGGUAUUUAUAUUCUUGGUUCUUAUGCACAUUUACCUCCUCUCUUACAUCCUUGUCCGUUAUCACCUUUAAACCCUCAUGAUACCUAUGCCCUUGCCACAUGCCUACUUUUAACCUACCCUUUAAAGCCACCUCUCUUUCAUCGCUGUUUGAGAAUAAUACCUCACCUACUUCACCAUUGAUUGCUUCCCCUUCUUUGAUGCCUCUCAAGUUUUGUCUAAAAUAUAUCCUUGGUUGGAUUCUCUCCCUUGGCGGUUACAAUCAUUACUUUAGCUCCAUCCUUUAUUAUGCUCAUGCCCCUAUCCUCCAUGUCUUAUUAUUUCUCCUUGCCUUUUGUUGGCCUUAGAGUAGUUUCCUUUUUUAAGGAAAGACCACCAUUUAAUUAAAAGGAACAUAUAACAUCGAGAUGUUGGUGGUUGUAUGCUUGUGAUGUUUGUCUUUGUGUGAUGACCGAUUUGCUUCUUUGUGAUGAGUGUUGUUGUGUUGUGGCCUUUGGUCCGCAAUGACAUCAGUUUACUAGUUGGGUGCUCUCCCUUUUCUCUCUUUAAUCCAUUUAUGCUUACCUUUUCUAUCUUACCUUUUCUAUCUAUACUCUUUCCUCUUGCACCUGUCCAGUUUGCAACCUCCAACCUCUCUCAAUCAAUCAAGACCAGAGUCGACAGCAUCUUUAUCAAGUGCGUAUCAACGCUUCUGUUAAGGGGGUUAGUCGCUAACCCCAAUGAAGACAAUGUGAAUAACAUCAGCCAACAAGAUCAGAGUGGUGUAGCGAAAGCGUGUGUGGGUCCUAACCCACAGGUCCAAGGGAUCCUCAAGAAUUGUAUCGAUUGGUCUCAAGCGCCUGAAGGUCAAAGCAUCCAGUCCGCAAGCUAAGCUUGCAAAGUCAAAGUCAACUCAAGAAAGCCGUGAACAACGGAUGAACCAACCUUGUUUCUCUUGCUAGCUUCUUGAAUCUCGAGGGCGAGAUUCUGUUAAGGGGGUUAGAUUUGUAACACCCUGAAUUUGGGGGUAUAAAAUUUCUUUCCUAAUAUCCACCAAAUUCAGGUGUUACCCUCUUCUUCCUUUGCCUUUCUUUAUCUUUUCAAAGCAGUGAAGGAAUAUUUUGCUUUUAUGUAAGUAUUAGAUGUAUUAAUGAAACUCUAAAAGGGUUUUUUUGAUAGUUGCAUCACAUGCUGGAGCAUUAAUUUUGUUUGUUGUUGAUUGAGUUAAAAGAGUGUUACUAUUUAAUUUAUUCUCUUUUUGUGAAGCCCAACUUAAUUAAUAAUAGAAAUUUACCUAAAAAUAUCUAUUGAAUAUUUUAUUUGAAAAUAUUAUUAUUUCAAAUUAUUAUAUUUUUUCAUAUUUAGAAAGACAUAUUUAUUCAUAUAUUUCGAAUAACUUAUGUGAAAAAAAGAAAAGAAAAGGGAAUUUCGAAAUAAAUAAAUAAAAGAAGAAAAAAAAGAAAUCUAAAAAAACAACCGUCCGGGGGCAAGUCCACCCCACGUGCGCGCAUGUAGGCAUGCAGCGGCUAGCGCCCACGCACGCUAACGCCCAGCCGCUCCCACGAUCUCUCCUCGCGCCCGCGCGUCAGGUGCAUGCAGGAGCCCAAGCGCGUCAUCUCUCCCACGAAAAGAAAACUACCUAGCCGUCCAUCUCUCUCUCUGUGAUACCCGGUUUGCAAAGAAGAGAAGUUGAAGGUUAUUCUUUUUGUUUGUUUUUUCUCUUAUUCGGGUGUCGCGCUUUGGGGAUUUAGAAUUUGUGGAAAUCAUUCACCAGUAUAGCAGUAGAGUGGUUGGUCGGGAGCUGUCGUGCAAGCGAGUUGGGCCGCGAAUCGCAAUCCGGCCCACUAACCCUCCCCCUAACCCUAGCCGCCCCCCUUUUUCCCCCUUGGGUUGUUGCAGCCGCCCCUUCCCCUCCCCUUUCUCUUGGACGCCCCCCCUCUCCCAUCUUCUUCCUCCUCAAACCUUUGCAGCCCUCACCACCCAAAACCCUAGCCGCCCCCCCCCCCCCCCAUUUCUCCCCCUCCUCCAAGGUGCAGCCCUCCCGUGUGGUUCUCCGUCGUGUGGCUGCGAUCUCAAUUGGAGUUUGGAGGGAGGAAGAAGGAAGGAGGAAGGGAAGAACCUAAGGUGAAUUUGUGAUUAACUUUUGUUGUUUUUGUGCUGCAAUCAAUUGGAUUAUGUGUUUAUCUUUGCGAAUCGGUAGAGGUGCUGUCCAGGAAUUUUGUGAGUGGGUGAACAGCAGUAGUUCUAGGGAUUUCUGGGAAUUUUCGUGGGGUAAUUAGUGGGAAUCAGUGGGAUAAUCAUGUAGAGCUUUGUCAUACCUUUCCAACGAGUACUUAUGCGCUCGAUUCGGAGUUAUAAUUUAGGAGAUAUCGUUGUUUGAAUCCGGGUAUAUUGCUGUCCAAAAAAACAGAUUUUUCAGGUGGGUGAACAGCAGUAGUAUUAGCAGUUUCUGGGAAUUUUUCGUGGGUAAUUAGUAUUAACCAGUAUUAUAAUCAUGUAGGGCUUUGUCUUAUCUUUCCAAUGAGUACUUAUGUGCUUGAUUUGGAAUUAUAUUUUAAAAGAUAUCGCUGUUUGAAUCCGGGUAUGUUGCUGUAAAAAAAACAGAUUUUUCAGGUGGGUGAACAGCAGUAGUAUUAGCAAUUUCUGGGAAUUUUUCGUGGUUAAUUAGUGCUAACCAGUAUGAUAAUCAUGUAUGGCUUUGUCUUAUCUUUCCAAUGAGUACUUAUGCGCUUGAAUUGGAAUUAUAUUUUAAAAGUUAUCGCUGUUUGAAUCCGGGUAUGUCGCUGUCCAAAAGAGAAAAAAACAGAUUACAGGGUUCAUCUUGUGAACUGUUUUGGGCUAAUUAGAUGUUGGAGUUUAAUUAUAAAUUGUAUACAAAACUUGUGGGGAAUUUUAUGUAGAUGCCUCUGGAGUUUUUGUUUGUUACCAAUGCUGUCAUAAUUUUGAAGUUAUGAAAUUAUUAAGCAGCGCCGCUGCAGUUUGGUGGGUGUGGGGAGAGAUGUAACCCGCGGCGGGGUUUGAGUUUGUGCGUAGGUGCGGCGUCGUUUAUGAGCCUGGUUAUGUGAAAUUGGUGCACUAAGUUGUGUGUCAAAAACAGGUGGUGGACUUCCGGAUCGUACUUAGGGAUUUGCCCAAACUUCCGGUAAAGGCAAGUAAAUACAGUGGUGGUUGCUACCGUUUGGUUUGCAUCCUAUUCCCUGUCAUUGAGUAUGCAUAAGUUUUAAAUAUGUUAAUCAUUGAAUUCUAUGAUGAAGUUUAUUUGUUCGAAAGUAUUAAUUCUCAAUUGUCUAAUAUUGUGGAUGAUCAUGAUUUGGUAAUGAUAUAUGUGGUUGAUUCCUAUCAUGGAUGGAGUUGAAGUAUUUUUAUUUGAAUCACGUUAUAUGAAGUGUUGUAGGCAUGUCAUGCACAUUGCAUCAUCCAUCUUGCAUUCUGAAGUUAUGUCGUGAUCUUAUGGUCCGACUGUACCGGUACAUUUUUAGCAUCGUACGUUGUCCGAGGAGGGGUACGAUGCGGCUUCAUAUCCUUAGAGGUAUGAAGGCAGAAGUCAUCCUUGCAUUUGCAGACAUUUGCACUCAUGAGGUAUAUAUAUGAAGAGUGACAUUACUAUGUUACUAUUGUGGUUUCUACCUGCGAGGUGUGGUAGCUAGGAGUGUUGUACGUUGUAUACGUGCUGCACCUUUGUAAUAAGAAGGUUGUGAAAUCAAGUGGUGGUAAAACAAUAUUCUUAUGUGGUUAAACAGUUUGAUAUUAUUUUACUUGCUGAGAUGUGUCAUCUCACUCUUGCAUUACUCAAUGCAGGUACUUGAUAUAUGUUGGGAAUGAGGGGAGUAGCAGCACGUCCACUUUCACUCUCAUAAUAGCGCUGCCCAGGCGUAGCCAUGAUUUAAUUAGAAACUUGUUGUCAAAAGAAGUUAUUUUUUUUUGCUAGUCGUGCGCACUGGUUAAUUCAGUUCAUGUCGUAUGUUUAACUUCCCUUUGCUAGCCGAUUAAUAAUACUUGGUAUGUUUUUGUCAUGAUAUAUGUUUAUACAUUGUUGUCCCCCCCCCUCAUUUAUGCAAUUUUGCAAAGGAGAUGCUGCCAAAAUUUUAUAUAGAUGUCAGAAGUGUAGUUCAGUAGCAUUCCGGGGUGUUUGUGGAUCCCGGGGUGUUACAGUUGGUAUCAGAGGAUAGGCUUUAGAUUCUACGCAAUUUGAAGAUAAAUUUGACACACUUGCACAUAUAGGAAGGGU
rnacentral:lncRNA from 1 species